UGUUCAUUCAGUAUUGUUGUAAUUAUUACAAAUACAUUUUAAAAAAUGUAUUUUUUAUUUUUAAUCUGCCGGUUUUAAUCGGUAUCGGCUUUUUUUGGUCCUCCAAUAAUCUGUAUCGGCGUUGAAAAAUUGAAAUCGGUCGACCUCUACUUCACACAUAUGCUGAGCACUUGUUGGCUGCGGUCCAACUCAUCCAAAACCACCCAAUUGGGUUGAGGUUGGGUGAUUGUGGAGGCCAGGUCAUCUGAUGCAGCACGCCAUCACUCUCCUUCUUGGUCAAAUAGCCCUUAAACAACCUGGAGGUGUGUUGGGUCAUUGUCCUGUUGAAAAACAAAUGAUAGUCCCACUAACCGCAAACCAGAUGGGAUGGCGUAUCGUUACAGAAUGCUGUGGUAGCCAUGCUGGUUAAGUGUGCCUUGAAUCCUAAAUAAAUCACAUCAUGUCACUAGCAAAGCACCAUCACACCACCACCUCAAUGCUUCACGAUGGGAACCACACAUGUGGAGAUCAUCCAUUCACCUACUCUGCGUCUCACAAAGAAGAGGUGGUUGGAACCAAAAAACGCACUUUUGGACUCAUCAGGCCAAAGGACAGAUUUCCACCGGUCUAAUGUCCAUUGGUCAUGUUUCUUGGCCCAAGCAAGUCUCUUCUUCUUGGUGUCCGUUAGUAGUGGUUUCUUUUCAGCAAUUUGUCCAUGAAGGCCUGAUUCUCACACACUCCUUGAUGUGUCUGUUACUUGAACUCUGAAGCAUUUAUUUGGGAUGCAAUCUGAGAUGUAUUUAACUUUCUAAUUUGUCCUCUGCAGCAGAGGUAACUCUGGGUCUUCCUUUCCUGUGGCAGUCAUCAUGAGAGCCAGUUUCAUCAUAGCUCUUGAUGGUUUUUGCAACUGCACUUGAACCUUUCAAAGUUCUUGAAAUUUUCCUGAUUGACAGACCUUCAUGUAAUGAAGGACUGAUGUUUCUCUCUGCUUAUUUGAGCUGUUCUUGCCAUAAGGGCGGCAGGUAUUCUAGUGGUUAGAGCAGUAACCAAAAGGUUUCUGCAUCGAAUCCCUGAGCUGACAAGGAAAAAAUCUGUUGUUCUGCCCUGAACAAGGCAGUUAACCCACUGUUCCCCGGUAGGCCGUCAUUGUAAAUAAGAAUUUGUUCUUAACUUCUUAUGGGCAGGUGGUACGGUAGCGUCCCACCUGGCCAACAUCCGGUGAAAUUGCAGAGCGCGUAAUUCAAAAAUACAAAAUUCAAAUAUUUAACAUUCUUGAAAAUAUAUGUUAUACAUCAAAAUAAAGCUUAACUUCUUGUUAAUCCAGCCGCCGUGUCAGAUUUCAAACAUGCUUUACGGCAAAAGCAAACCAUGCGAUUAUCUGAGGACAGCGCCCCGCAUACAAACACAUGACAAUCAUAUUUCAACCAGGCAGGUGCGCCACAAAAGUCAGACAUUGCGAUAUAAUUCAUGCCUUACCUUUUGAAGAUCUUCUUCUGUUUACACUCCCAGAAACAUCACAAAUGGUCCUUUUGUUCGAUAAUGUUCUUCAUUAUGUCCCAAAAAUUUUAAUUUUAUUAGGCAAGUUUGAUUCAGAAAUACACCGGUUUCAACUCGCCCAACAUGCCUACAAAGUAUCUAAUAAGUUACCUGUAAACUUGGUCCAAACAUAUCAAACAACGUUCCUAAUCCUCAGGUUCCCUAAAACGUAAAUAAUCGAUACAAUUUAAGACGGAAUAAACUGUUUCCAAUACCGGAUAAAAACAACGUGAAGCGCGCUCCAGUUCACACGCAUCAAAACAGUAGACCUGGAGUGACACUUACAAUGAAUAGCACUACUUCUUCAUUUCUCAAAAGAAAAACAUUGAACAAUUUCUAAAGACAUCUAGUGGAAGCCAUGGGAACUGUAACCAGGUUUCUAAUAAUAAGGCUAUCCCAUAGAAAACAAAUGGAAAAUCCUGUGAUCUCAAUUUUAUUUUUUCCCUGGAUGGUUUGUCCUCGGUGUUUUGCCUGCCAUAUCAGUUCUGUUAUACUCACAUAAAUUAUUGUAACAGUUUUAUAAACGUUAGUGUUUUCUAUCCAAAUCUACCAAUUAUAUGCAUAUCCUAGCUUUUGGCCCUGAGUAACAGGCAGUUUACUUUGGGCACACUUUUCAUCCGGAGGUGAAAAUACUGCCCCCUACCCAAGAGAGGUUAACUGACUUGCCUAGUUAAAUUAAGGUUAAAUUUAAAAAAUAAAUAUGGACUCUGUGUAUACCACCCCUACCUUGUCACAACACAACUGAUUGUCUCAAAUGCAUUAAGAAGGAAAGAAAUUCCACAAAUGAACUUUUAGCAAGGCACACCUGUUAAUUGAAAUGCAUUCCAGGUGACUACCUCGUUAAGCUGGUUGAGAGAAUGCCAAGAGUGUGCAAAGCUGUCAUCAAGGCAAAGGGUGGCUACUUUGUAGAAUAAUAGUGAAGACCUCAACACCAUGAAAUAACACACAUGUAAUCAUGUAGCAACCAAAAAAUAUGUAUUUUAUAUUUGAGAUUCUUCAAUGUAGAAAAUAGUAAAAAUAAAGAAAAACCCUUGAAUGAAUAGGUUUUCAAACUUUUGACUAGUAUUGUAUAUGGAAAAACUCAAGCCCCUUAACCAAACCAACACAAUAACACUCAAUUAUCAUUAACAAACAAAUCAUCCACAGCAUGAAAAAAUGUACUUUACUUGAAGCCUGCAGGUAUAAUGCAUUAUGAUGAAGUAAGUUUUAAUACAUUGUAAGACUUCUCAUAAGCAUGUUAUAGCUGUCAUUGAUAUGUUGUAUACUGUAUGUAUCAGUCAUAACAUCUCUUGUCUUUACUAUUCAUAACAUCUGUCAAAUCAUUAUUAUAAUGUUGCCAUGAACGUCUUGCGAAGGUGGGUUACCUUGUGUUCCUACCAACUGUUCCCUGACCUGGUUGUUAUUGAAAGAGCCAUUAUAAAGAAAGACAAGAAUUGCUUCUUGGAAUGCCUUCUGGAUAAACAAAGGUUAUUUUAAUCCCCCAGUCCUUCGCAGUUUCACUCAAAGCUGGCACUGUGAGGCGUAUGGCUUCCCACAUGGCACCCUAUUCCUUGUGUCCCUACCAUAGGUCCCUGGUCAAAAGUAGUGCACUUCAUAGGGAUUAGGGUGCCAUUUGGGACGUAGCCUAUGGGCUGAGUCGUCCAUUAAGCUAACUAACUAACACACAUUCACAGGCUCCCUGCUUUCCUCUGUGCUUUAAUGUGGCAGGUAAUUGCCAGCUCCAUAAUGACCAUCUUACAGGCUGGGCCUGGAAAGGUUGCCUGCUGACUGGCUUUUGAUACACUGCAUUAAUGAAGUUUAUGACUCUUGAGCCCUGGGGAUCUGUCAAGCUCCCUUGUGCCAGGAAGAAAACUUUGCUUAGGUGUUAAAGUGACCUCGCUUUACCUGUAUGAUGAGAAUGUAUUGUAUACCAGAAAGCGCCUCUGCGCUAGAAGUGUCAGGGAAGGGGCAGCUGGGAAAUGCUUUUGCAGAAGUUUGUUUGAGCUUUGAAGAGUGGUUUUGUCAAAGACCUGUUAGCAGUAAUGAUCCAUUUUUUUUCUUCUCCACUGCGUUUUCUGUCUCUUUACUUUACUGGUGCGUAAUCUGUCUCAUCCGCCAUCUUUUUAGAGUACCCACUUUAGUACUCAGAUAAUUAAAACGUUUGUCAUUACAGAGCGACUGCCCCUAUAAAUCAACUAAUCCCCUUUGAAAAUGGCCAAUGUAGCAUCAAUAUGAGUCCGAAACAUUUAUUCUAGUUUAAGAAUUGACUACAAAGUGUAAUUAGGAUAAUUUGAGUAAUAAAGUCAGUCUUGUCUAAAAUGGAGUUUGGAACCUUAGUGUGUCACAUCGAGUAAAUUAAGGUUGGGUUUGGAUUACAAUGUUAACAAAUCAUGCCCCCUUUUGCCAAACUCCACAUGCAAAUCGCCCCUCAGCCCGCAUCGUUCUGUUCAUUAAGUGGGGCUCUGUUGUUUCAUCGCCCCCAAUACUUUCAAUGGAUCCCUGCCAUUUUAAACUGAGUAUCCCUGUACGGAUUGACCAUGCAAUGCAUGCUACCAGCAGGAUGCACAGCCAACUGGUUUGCAUGCCCUGCCGAUGGAACCUAUCAUGCGGAAGUUGGUUGGAGUUCGUUGGUCCCCAGUGGUGACAAAGUGCAUAGUUGGGUGCCAGACUGAUCCCCUGGUCAUGAACGGAUGCCGGGACCUACCAGAAGAAACCACGCUUGUCAGGCAAGACCUCUGACUAAGUGUCAUGCGACACAAUUACCCUUGUGACACCACCUCCGUUGUUGCCAGACUCUCCCUCGACGCCUUUGAUAGUGACCCGAGUUACUGCCAUGAUGACAAACGGCUUCGACUACGACAGGUCCUCACAGUCAACACCACCUCAUAAGAUUGCCUGCUGCAGUUGUUCGAGAGAUGUCCAGUUUACAGCAAAACAUGCACCACAGAGAAGACCAGAAAGGGGAACCCCUUCAGCAUCAUCCAAACAUGCCCUCACUGCAUUCUAUUUCAUAUUUUAUCAUAUCUGAAGUGAAAUAGGAAGGUGAAUGCACCGACCAGGUUGGUUCCACCAGGCUAAUCAUAACCACCAUUGAUAAUGUAAUCAGUGGUGUGUAUCUGACCGAGCAGUAUCUUCGAUGAGCCAGGAGCACAUCUAUGCUACUUUGCCCAUCAAUUCGGCCUCUGUCAAAGACCUCACCUCCAGCCUCACCUCUUGCCUGCUCGCCUCCAGGUUGUCGAUAGGGAGAACAUAAUUAGGUAGGUUUAGUCGGACCUGUUCAAAAUUCAACAUGGUAUGCAGUGCCUUCGGAAAGUAUUCGGACCCCUUGACUCUUAUUCUGAAAUUGAUUAUAUAAAAAUAAUGCCUCAGUAAUCUACACACAAUACCCCAUAAUGACAACAUAAAAACAGGUUCAUACAAAUGUAUAAAAAAAAAACAUAAGUAUUCAGACCUUUUGCUAUGAGACUUGAAAUUGAGCUCAGGUGGUACAUUCAAAUUGAUUGGACAUGCUUUAGAAAGGCACACACCUGUCUAUAUAAGGUCCCACAGAUGAGCAAGAAUGUCUGACCAAAAACCAAGCCAUGAGGUCGAAGGAAUUGUCCGUAGAGCUCCAAGAUGGGAUUGUGUCGAGGCACAAAUCUGGGGAAGGGUACUAAAAAAUGUCUGCAGCAUUGAAGGUCCCCAAGAAUACAGUGGCCUCCUUCCAUUUUAAGAAUGAUGAAGUUUGGAACCACCAAGACUCUUCCUAGAGCAGUUGGGAGACAAGGUACUUGGUCAGAGUGGUGACCAAGAACCCGAUGGUCACUCUGACAGAGCUCUGGAGUUCUUCCUUCCAGAAGGACAACGAUCCAACAAUCAGGCCUUUAUGGUAGAGUGGCCAGACGGAAGCCACUUCUCAGUAAAAGGCACGUGACAGCCCGCUUGGAGUUUGCCAAAAGGCACCUAAAGACUCUCAGACCAUGACAAACAGGAUUCUCUGGUCAGAAACCAAGAUUGAACUAUUUGGCCUGAAUGCCAAGCAUCACGUCUGGAGGAAACCUAGCACCAUCCCUACGGUGAAGCAUGGUGGUGGCAGCAUCAUGCUGCGGGGAUGUUUUUCAGCGGCAGGGACUGGGAGACUCGUCAGGAUGAAGGCAAAAAACACAACGCAGGAGCGGCUUUGGGACAACUCUCUGAAUGUCCUUGAGUGGCCCAGCCAGAGCGCGGACUUGAACCCGAUCAAACAUCUCUGGAGGUACCUGAAAAUAGCUGUGCUGCAACGCUCCCUGUCCAACCUGACAGAGCUUGAGAGGAUCUGCAGAGAAGAAUGGGAGAAACUCCCCAAAUACAGGUGUGACAAGCUUGUAGCGACAUGCCCAAGAAGACUCAAUGCUGUAAUCACUGCUAAAGGUGCUUCAACAAAGUACUGAGUAAAGGGUCUAAAUUCUGAAGUAUCAGUUUUUUAUUUUAUGAAUUAGCAAACAUUUCUGAAAACCUUUUUUUGCUUUGUCAUUAUGGGAUAUUGUGUGUAGAUUGAUGAGGAAAAAAACUACAAUUGAAUCAGUUUUAGAAUAAGAACUUAACAAAAUGUGAAAAAAGUCAAAGGGUCUGAAUACUUUCCGAAGGCACUGUAUGUUUGUGUCAGAUAUCACCUAGCCAUAACUGCCAUUGGUAAUAGAACCGUGACUGUGUGCAUGUGUUCAGAGAUGCAGAGAGACAUGGCACUCAACACAUCCACAAGAACGUGAUUACUAAUAAUACUGUAUAGCACAGAUGUCCAGUAAUAGCAACACCAUUUUCAUUCCAUGUGUCACUGACGAACUCUGCUUAUUAUUUCUACAGAUGGACUGGACAUGCUUUUGCCAUAUUUCAGCCUCAUUCAUUUGAUAGGGAGACUAGAGUUGGGACAGUUGUAUCCUAUCCUAACUGCCAUUGUUAGUAGAACAGUGACUGUGUGUAUGUGUUCAUGGAAACAUUUAUAGAGCCAGCACAUGGAGAUUUGCAAGAUGAUGUGAUGAAGUCCUGACUGACAGACAGACAGACAGACAGACAGACAGGCUUGAUAUUGAAGUCUCUAAAUGGAGAGAGACCUGGCACUCGACAUUAAACUUUUACUGGACACAA